rnacentral:sRNA from 1 species
AGAGGAAGGAGAAGUCGUAACAAGGUUUCCGUAGGUGAACCUGCGGAAGGAUCAUUGUCAAAACCUGCCCAGCAGAACAACCUGUGAACUCUUGAAAAACACCAGAGGGGGCGUGCCUCGCGUGCGACCCCCUCCCUUCCGCAUCAGGCGCGGGCCUGCUCUCGUGCCUGUCGCGGAAAAAACAAACCCCGGGCGCAGCGCGCGCCAAGGAAAACCAACAAGAGAGCACGGUCUCAGGCCCCGGAGACGGUGCGCCUGGGACGCAGUGCCUUCUUUCACAUUAUCUACAACGACUCUCGGCAACGGAUAUCUCGGCUCUCGCAUCGAUGAAGAACGCAGCGAAAUGCGAUACUUGGUGUGAAUUGCAGAAUCCCGUGAACCAUCGAGUCUUUGAACGCAAGUUGCGCCCCAAGCUGUUAGGCUGAGGGCACGCCUGCCUGGGUGUCACGCAUCGUCGCCCCACCCCAACCCCUCKGGGGCCUGGGGGUGUGGGCGGAGAAUGGCCUCCCGUGCGCCGCCGCUCGCGGUUGGCCCAAAUGUGAGUCCUCGGCGACAGAAGCCGCGACAAUCGGUGGUGCAAGCGUGCGUCUCGAGAUCAUGUCGCGUGCCUACGCCUCCGUCUAGGGACUGAAGGUACCCURAAGCUCCGCGCAGGCGGAGCUCGCAUCGCGACCCCAGGUCAGGCGGGAUUACCCGCUGAGUUUAAGC